rnacentral:miRNA from 1 species
GUGAGUGAUUACACAGAAUGUAUCAGAGAAAGCUAAAUUUUAGUAAUAUUUAGCUUUCUCUGAUACAUUCUGUGUAAUCACUCAC